GAACUAAUAACUCGAAGUAUGGAAUGAGGGAGUAACGCCCCAAAACAUACUCUAUAAUACUCCGACAUGCAUCAUAUAACGAAAGUUAAGAUGUGUGAAGCUCGGUGAAGUCAGCAGAAGUUGACCUAAAUUAAGGAAUAUACUAAGUAUUAUUGGUACAAAAGUGGUUAGAGCCCGCCCGUAAAAAAAGUAUUAGUACAAGAUAUGGUUAAUGAUAUGUUGGUAGUCCAUAA
rnacentral:ncRNA from 1 species